rfam:Leisingera methylohalidivorans DSM 14336 strain MB2, DSM 14336, complete genome.
GCGGCCGUAGCUCAGUGGUAGAGCAUGAGGUUUCCACCCUCUGUGCGCCAGUUCGAUUCUGGUCGGCCUCU